GUGGUUAUCGUAUAACGUUAUUACCUCAGUAUCUGGCUGAUGAUGUGGGUUAGAUUCCCACUGACCACU
rnacentral:tRNA from 1 species